rnacentral:rRNA from 1 species
UACGUAGGUGGCAAGCGUUAUCCGGAAUUACUGGGUGUAAAGGGAGCGUAGACGGUGAUGUAAGUCUGGAGUGAAAGGCGGGGGCCCAACCCCCGGACUGCUCUGGAAACUAUAUGACUGGAGUGCAGGAGAGGUGAGCGGAAUUCCUAGUGUAGCGGUGAAAUGCGUAGAUAUUAGGAGGAACACCAGUGGCGAAGGCGGCUCACUGGACUGUAACUGACACUGAGGCUCGAAAGCGUGGGGAGCAAAUAGG